rnacentral:rRNA from 1 species
CACUCCUACGGGAGGCAGCAGUGGGGAAUAUUGCACAAUGGGCGCAAGCCUGAUGCAGCCAUGCCGCGUGUAUGAAGAAGGCCUUCGGGUUGUAAAGUACUUUCAGCGGGGAGGAAGGCAAUACGGUUAAUAACCGUGUUGAUUGACGUUACCCGCAGAAGAAGCACCGGCUAACUCCGUGCCAGCAGCCGCGGUAAUACGGAGGGUGCAAGCGUUAAUCGGAAUUACUGGGCGUAAAGCGCACGCAGGCGGUCUGUCAAGUCGGAUGUGAAAUCCCCGGGCUCAACCUGGGAACUGCAUUCGAAACUGGCAGGCUUGAGUCUUGUAGAGGGGGGUAGAAUUCCAGGUGUAGCGGUGAAAUGCGUAGAGAUCUGGAGGAAUACCGGUGGCGAAGGCGGCCCCCUGGACAAAGACUGACGCUCAGGUGCGAAAGCGUGGGGAGCAAACAGGAUUAGAAACCCCUGUAGUCC